AUUACACAGAUGUUGGUUCAGAUGAUGGAGUUCAGAUGUGUAAUUGCCAAACAACAAUGUCUUGUUUUGAACACAGAGCACAACAGAAAAUCAUGAAACGGAGAAUCUGUCUGCACCUGAUCCUGAUGUUUCACAGACACAGAUAUGAGAAUCCAACCUGUGUACAUUUAUCCUGUAACAAGCUGAUACUGAAUACUACAUUGUAAGUACAGCUAUUAUGUAAAUGUGUUGUGUUAUUAAAAAUGCACUUUUUUCUUCAUCUUUGAGUUUUCCGUUAAAUAAGAGGGAGCUGAACAUGUUUAGUAAAUCUAUUGCAUCAGUGGUUUGAAGCCCACAUAUUUUCUGUUUCAGCUAAUAUUAAAGUUAAACAGAUCUGUACAACAUUUAAAGCUAUGUAAAUGUAUUAAUGUAACAUUUAAGACACUCCAGCAGUUUGUAUGGCAUCUUAAUUGCUUUAGCUUAUGUGUGUGUAUGUGCAUUUCAAUAAUAAUAAAUGUUGAGAGUACUUUCUAUUGAAGUCUCCAAGAUUAUGAGAUAUAAUCAUCAUAUAUCACAAUAAAAAUCAUGAGACCACAAAA